rnacentral:rRNA from 1 species
UACGGAGGAUGCGAGCGUUAUCCGGAUUUAUUGGGUUUAAAGGGUGCAUAGGUGGUGAUUUAAGUCAGCGGUGAAAGUUUGUGGCUCAACCAUAAAAUUGCCGUUGAAACUGGGUUACUUGAGUGUGUUUGAGGUAGGCGGAAUGCGUGGUGUAGCGGUGAAAUGCAUAGAUAUCACGCAGAACUCCGAUUGCGAAGGCAGCUUACUAAACCAUAACUGACACUGAAGCACGAAAGCGUGGGGAUCAAACAGG